GAUGAACGCUGGCGGCGUGCUUAACACAUGCAAGUCGAACGGAAAGGCCCUGCUUUUGUGGGGUGCUCGAGUGGCGAAGGGGGGAGAAACACGUGAGUAACCUGCCCUUGACUUUGGGAUAACUCCAGGAAACUGGGGCUAUUACCGGAUAGGAGCUCUUGCUGCAUGGUGGGGGUUGGAAAGUUUCGGCGGUUGGGGAUGGACUCGCGGCUUAUCAGCUUGUUGGUGGGGUAGUGGCUUACCAAGGGUUUGACGGGUAGCCGGCCUGAGAGGGUGACCGGCCACAUUGGGACUGAGAUACGGCCCAGACUCCUACGGGAGGCAGCAGUGGGGAAUAUUGCACAGUGGGCGGAAGCCUGAUACAGCAGCGCCGCGUGCGGGAUGACGGCCUUCGGGUUGUAAACCGCUUUCGCCUGUGACGAAGCGUGAGUGACGGUAAUGGGUAAAGAAGCACCGGCUAACUACGUG
rnacentral:rRNA from 1 species